rnacentral:rRNA from 1 species
CAUGCAGGCGGUUAUACAAGUAGGAUGUGAAAGCCUGGGGCUCAACCUCAGAACUGCAUUCUAAACUGUGUGACUAGAGUAUUGCGGGGGGAGACGGAAUUUCAGGUGUAGCGGUGGAAUGCGUAGAUAUCUGAAAGAACACCAAAGGCGAAGGCAGUCUCCUGGGCAAAUACUGACGCUCAUAUGCGAAAGCGUGGGUAGCAAAUA